rnacentral:rRNA from 1 species
GAUUAAGUUAUUAAGGGCGCACGGUGGAUGCCUUGGCACUAGAAGCCGAUGAAGGACGUUACUAACGACGAUAUGCUUUGGGGAGCUGUAAGUAAGCUUUGAUCCAGAGAUUUCCGAAU